CGUAUCACCCAAGACAACUUUACGGAGUUGACGAUUGACGGAGCGAAGCGACGUCAAAGCGUUCAUUAAAGUCGAGUUGGCUUAGGGAUACGUUCGUUGGGUAGGGGAGCGUUCUGUAAGCCUGUGAAGGUGUGUCGUGAGGCAUGCUGGAGGUAUCAGAAGUGCGAAUGCUGACAUAAGUAACGAUAAAGCGGGUGAAAAGCCCGCUCGCCGGAAGACCAAGGGUUCCUGUCCAACGUUAAUCGGGGCAGGGUGAGUCGACCCCUAAGGCGAGGCCGAAAGGCGUAGUCGAUGGGAAACGGGUUAAUAUUCCCGUACUUGGUGUUACUGCGAAGGGGGGACGGAGAAGGCUAUGUUGGCCGGGCGACGGUUGUCCCGGUUUAAGCGUGUAGGUGUGUGUUCCAGGUAAAUCCGGUUCACUUUAACACUGAGGCGUGACGACGAGGCACUACGGUGCUGAAGCAACAA
rnacentral:rRNA from 2 species